rnacentral:rRNA from 1 species
CCUACGGGAGGCUGCAGUGGGGGAUAUUGCACAAUGGGGGGAACCCUGAUGCAGCGACGCCGCGUGGGUGAAGAAGCGCCUCGGCGCGUAAAGCCCUGUCAGCAGGGAAGAAAAUGACGGUACCUGAAGAAGAAGCCCCGGCUAACUACGUGCCAGCAGCCGCGGUAAUACGUAGGGGGCAAGCGUUAUCCGGAUUUACUGGGUGGAAAGGGGGCGCAGACGGCGAUGCAAGCCAGGAGUGAAAGCCCGGGGCCCAACCCCGGGACUGCUCUUGGAACUGCGUGGCUGGAGUGCAGGAGGGGCAGGCGGAAUUCCUGGUGUAGCGGUGAAAUGCGUAGAUAUCAGGAGGAACACCGGUGGCGAAGGCGGCCUGCUGGACCGCAACUGACGUUGAGGCCCGAAAGCGUGGGGAGCAAACAGGAUUAGAUACCCCUGUAGUC